rnacentral:rRNA from 1 species
GAACGCUAGCUACAGGCUUAACACAUGCAAGUCGAGGGGCAGCAUUGGAGUAGCAAUACUCAGAUGGCGACCGGCGCACGGGUGAGUAACACGUAUCCAACCUGCCGCUUACUCGGGGAUAGCCUUUCGAAAGAAAGAUUAAUACCCGAUGGUAUAAAGAGUUCGCAUGUUCUCUUUAUUAAAGAAUUUCGGUAAGCGAUGGGGAUGCGUUCCAUUAGAUAGUUGGCGGGGUAACGGCCCACCAAGUCUACGAUGGAUAGGGGUUCUGAGAGGAAGGUCCCCCACAUUGGAACUGAGACACGGUCCAAACUCCUACGGGAGGCAGCAGUGAGGAAUAUUGGUCAAUGGACGAGAGUCUGAACCAGCCAAAAGUAGCGUGAAGGAUGACUGCCCUAUGGGUUGUAAACUUCUUUUAUAAGGGAAUAAAGUGAGGGACGUGUCCCUUUUUGUAUGUACCUUAUGAAUAAGGAUCGGCUAACUCCGUGCCAGCCGCGGC